UACGUAGGAUGCGAGCGUUAUCCGGAUUUAUUGGGUUUAAAGGGUGCGUAGGCGGACUGUCAAGUCAGCGGUAAAAUUGAGAGGCUCAACCUCUUCCCGCCGUUGAAACUGGUGGUCUUGAGUGGAUGAGAAGUACGCGGAAUGCGUGGUGUAGCGGUGAAAUGCAUAGAUAUCGCGCAGAACUCCGAUUGCGAAGGCAGCGUACCGGCAUCCAACUGACGCUGAGGCACGAAAGCGUGGGGAUCAAACAGG
rnacentral:rRNA from 1 species